GAACUGCCAUUGAAACUGGGGAGCUUGAAUACAGAUGAAGUAGGCGGAAUGAGUAGUGUAGCGGUGAAAUGCAUAGAUAUUACUCAGAACACCGAUUGCGUAAGCAGCUUACUAAACUGAUAUUGACGCUGAGGCACGAAAGCGUGGGGAGCGAACAGGAUUAGAUACCCUGGUAGUCCACGCAGUAAACGAUGUUCACUCGCUGUUUGCGAUAUACCGUAAGCGGCUUAGCGAAAGCAUUAAGUGAACCACCUGGGGAGUACGUCGGCAACGGUGAAACUCAAAGGAAUUGACGGGGGCCCGCACAAGCGGAGGAACAUGUGGUUUAAUUCGAUGAUACGCGAGGAACCUUACCUGGGCUUAAAUGUAGAGUGCAUGAGGUGG
rnacentral:rRNA from 1 species